AAGGCCAAGGGAGAAAUGCAGGGGUUUCUCGGAAUUGUGUCAUUGGAUGUUGGAGAUGCAAGAAUUCAGCGAAGCUAGUGGGUGGAUUCAAGCGCUGGGAACGCUGAGGUAGGAGGCCCCGGGGGCGAAGAGGGGGACGGCAAACGCCGGCCCACCUGGAGGGCGCUAGUCCCUACAUGCUCGUCUACAUGGGCGGUCGUGGCCUGGCAUGUCUUGAUCUCCACUAACCUGAGGAAUGAGGAGAAUUCAUUGGAUCCUGGGGGGCGGGCGACAGGGAGGGGGCUGCUGCAGGCUGCAGAAUGGCGGCUCAGUUCAAGGCAACGCGGGUUGAAUUCUGGGAAAAGAGCGCUUAUUUAAUUCCCUCCCUUUGUUCAAAUCGUUGUUUUUUAGAACAAUGGAUGUGCGUAAACUAUUAGCACGGUUCGUUUUGCUUCUUGACCUUGUAUCGCAUAAAACCGUUAUAGUUGUUUCUUUUCCAUUCCUGUUGUAACGAGGAAAAUUUACCACGGACCACC
rnacentral:sRNA from 2 species